rnacentral:lncRNA from 1 species
AUGGCACGUCUCGGAAUCUAAGGAUCAAUACAAGAUUAAUUAAAGUGAGGGCUAUGUAAUUGUCAUACUAAAUUUCGUUUUAAGAAAUUCGGCGUUCUAUUCCUCCUAACAGUGAAUCUAUGUACUCCAAUGUGAUCGAAUAAAACAUGAAUCUAAACAGUGACAAAUAAACGCUUGCUUGAGCCCUUCCAGUUGUGUGACUCGGCAAACUAAAGACUUGCUAAUAAUUUCACAAAUUUCAACUCAGGCUGCCAGGGAGGAAAGCACACGGAACAUCCAGUAGGUGCUGAUUUUGCAACUGUUGCAGUGACUCGACAAACUAAAGACUUGCUAAUAAUUUCACAAAUUUCAACUCAGGCUGCCAGGGAGGAAAGCACACGGAACAUCCAGUGCAGAAUCUUUAUCGAUGAAUUUGGCUUAUCCUUAACGAUCAAUAUUAGUGCCUAUAAAGUUCUUAAACAGAGAAUCAAACACAAAUACAGAAGGCUAGAAUUGCUUCUACCAAGUGAACAUAAAACUAUGAAAUUAUCAAUUAACAAGCAUAAAUCUAUCACAUUCAUAAAAAUAUCCAACUGAUGUAACCAAAUCAGUGUGUAACAUGAACAUUAAUUCAACGUAGAACAUUUAUAAAUUGUCAAAGUUUUGUCAUGGGAACAAAAGCAGUAGAAAAUUAGAAAAGAGAAACAGAACCUCUCGUUAAACAGCAAACCCGAGCCGAAAUAGCAGGCCACCGGACGAGAAACUCAAAUAGGCACCGGAAUUUCGAAUCGAACACGAACUCGAAUCAAUCUCGGCUGAAAUUAUCCCCAUACUCGAAUAACCAGAAGUCUAAUCCAAUUGAAGAAACAGAACCAAAACCAUCUCUGAAAUCAAUUUAUCUGGUGUGUGCUUUUGAGAAUUUCCGGCGACGAAUUGCGAGUGAAUUCCGACGAUACUGAUGAGUGACUGAGCGUAUGUGUGUAGCCAGUGAAGGAGUGAAUUGGGUGUUGUUUUCCAGUGAGGGAACUUGUUUGGUUGAGUGAUCACCGGCGAAGUAAAGGUCGUUUGGACAGAGGCGACGCCGGAAGUUCAGGAGUUGUUUGGGUGAGCAGUUGUCGGGUGAGAGAGGGAGACGAAAUCAGGGGGUCUUUUUGUGUUCAAUCUAUUGCGUUCCUUUUUCUUUUUCUUUCUGUAUUUUUUUCCCUUUUGCGUGUCUUUUACGUCUUUUUUUGUUUUGUUUUUUUUUUUGAAAUAACGAAAAAAUCAUUUUGUUUAAUUU